GAAAUAUAAAUAUAUUAAGCUGCUAACUUAAUUAAUAGUGAUUAAAUUCAUUAAUAUUUCU
rnacentral:tRNA from 1 species